UACGGAGGGUGCGAGCGUUGUUCGGAAUCACUGGGCGUAAAGGGCGCGUAGGCGGCCUGAUAAGUAGGGGGUGAAAUCCUGCGGCUUAACCGCAGGGCUGCCUUCUAAACUGUCGGGCUAGAGCACGGUAGAGGCAGAUGGAAUUCCCGGUGUAGCGGUGGAAUGCGUAGAGAUCGGGAAGAACAUCAGUGGCGAAGGCGGUCUGCUGGGCCGUUGCUGACGCUGAGGCGCGACAGCGUGGGUAGCAAACAGG
rnacentral:rRNA from 1 species